rnacentral:rRNA from 1 species
GACGAACGCUGGCGGCGUGCUUAACACAUGCAAGUCGAACGGAAAGGCCCUGCUUUUGUGGGGUGCUCGAGUGGCGAACGGGUGAGUAACACGUGAGUAACCUGCCCUUGACUUUGGGAUAACUUCAGGAAACUGGGGCUAAUACCGGAUAGGAGCUCCUGCUGCAUGGUGGGGGUUGGAAAGUUUCGGCGGUUGGGGAUGGACUCGCGGCUUAUCAGCUUGUUGGUGGGGUAGUGGCUUACCAAGGCUUUGACGGGUAGCCGGCCUGAGAGGGUGACCGGACACAUUGGGACUGAGAUACGGACCAGACGCCUACGGGAGGCAGCAGUGGGGAAUAUUGCACAAUGGGCGGAAGCCUGAUGCAGCAACGCCGCGUGCGGGAUGACGGCCUUCGGGUUGUAAACCGCUUUCGCCUGUGACGAAGCGUGAGUGACGGUAAUGGGUAAAGAAGCACCGGCUAACUACGUG